UACGUAGGGGGCAAGCGUUGUCCGGAAUCAUUGGGCGUAAAGAGCUCGUAGGCGGACUGUCACGUCUGCUGUGAAAAGCUGGGGCUUAACCCUGGCCUUGCAGUGGAUACGGGCAGACUAGAGGUAGGUAGGGGAGAAUGGAAUUCCCGGUGUAGCGGUGAAAUGCGCAGAUAUCGGGAGGAACACCGGUGGCGAAGGCGGCAUCCUGGACCAACACUGACGCUGAGGAGCGAAAGCCAGGGGAGCAAACGGG
rnacentral:rRNA from 1 species